rnacentral:ncRNA from 1 species
UGGCCUUUUCAUUAGCCCGUAGUAAACUUAUACAUGCAAGCAUCCCCGCCCCGGUGAGAAUGCCCUCUAUAUCAAAUUCAGAUCAAAAGGUGCAGGCAUCAAGUUCACGAUUACCUUACACGUAGCUCACAACGCCUUGCUCAACCACACCCCCACGGGACACAGCAGUAAUUGAAAUUAAGCCAAUAAACGAAAGUUUGACUAAGCCAUACUACUCUUAGGGUUGGUAAAUUUCGUGCCAGCCACCGCGGUCAUACGAUUAACCCCAGCUAAUGAAGCGAGGUGUAAAGCGUGGUUAAGUUUGAAGCCCCAAUAAGACUAAGCUCGGACUAAGCUGUAAAAAGCCCCAGUCGCAAUAAAAACAAUCCACAAAGGGAGUCCUUAAGUCACCUGAACUCACGAUAGCUAAGACCCAAACUGGGAUUAGAUACCCCCCACUACGGCUUAGCCCUAAACAUAAAYAUUCAACAAACAAGAAUGUUCACCAGAGCACUACUAGCAACAGCCUAAAACUCAAAGGACUUGGCGGUGCCUUACAUCCCUCUAGAGGAGCCUGUUCUAUAAUCGAUAAACCCCGAUUCACCUCACCACCUUUAGCAAUAUCAGCCUAUAUACCGCCAUCUUCAGCAAACCCUAAYAAGGCCCUACAGUAAGCACAAAUAUAACYCAUAAAGACGUUAGGUCAAGGUGUAGCCUAUAAGGUGGGAAGCAAUGGGCUACAUUUUCUAUUGAUAGAACAACACCACGAUAACUUUYAUGAAACCUGAAAGCCCAAGGUGGAUUUAGUAGUAAGUCGGGAGCAGAGAGCCUGACUGAAUUGGGCAACAAGGCACGC